AGCGUACACGGUGGAUGCCCUGGCAGUCAGAGGCGAUGAAGGACGUGCUAAUCUGCGAUAAGCGUCGGUAAGGUGAUAUGAACCGUUAUAACCGGCGAUUUCCGAAUGGGGAAACCCAGUGUGAUUCGUCACACUAUCAUUAACUGAAUCCAUAGGUUAAUGAGGCGAACCGGGGGAACUGAAACAUCUAAGUACCCCGAGGAAAAGAAAUCAACCGAGAUUCCCCCAGUAGCGGCGAGCGAACGGGGAGCAGCCCAGAGCCUGAAUCAGUGUGUGUGUUAGUGGAAGCGUCUGGAAAGGCGCGCGAUACAGGGUGACAGCCCCGUACACAAAAAUGCACAUGCUGUGAGCUCGAUGAGUAGGGCGGGACACGUGGUAUCCUGUCUGAAUAUGGGGGGACCAUCCUCCAAGGCUAAAUACUCCUGACUGACCGAUAGUGAACCAGUACCGUGAGGGAAAGGCGAAAAGAACCCCGGCGAGGGGAGUGAAAAAGAACCUGAAACCGUGUACGUACAAGCAGUGGGAGCCUCUUUAUGGGGUGACUGCGUACCUUUUGUAUAAUGGGUCAGCGACUUAUAUUCUGUAGCAAGGUUAACCGAAUAGGGGAGCCGAAGGGAAACCGAGUCUUAACUGGGCGUUAAGUUGCAGGGUAUAGACCCGAAACCCGGUGAUCUAGCCAUGGGCAGGUUGAAGGUUGGGUAACACUAACUGGAGGACCGAACCGACUAAUGUUGAAAAAUUAGCGGAUGACUUGUGGCUGGGGGUGAAAGGCCAAUCAAACCGGGAGAUAGCUGGUUCUCCCCGAAAGCUAUUUAGGUAGCGCCUCGUGAAUUCAUCUCCGGGGGUAGAGCACUGUUUCGGCAAGGGGGUCAUCCCGACUUACCAACCCGAUGCAAACUGCGAAUACCGGAGAAUGUUAUCACGGGAGACACACGGCGGGUGCUAACGUCCGUCGUGAAGAGGGAAACAACCCAGACCGCCAGCUAAGGUCCCAAAGUCAUGGUUAAGUGGGAAACGAUGUGGGAAGGCCCAGACAGCCAGGAUGUUGGCUUAGAAGCAGCCAUCAUUUAAAGAAAGCGUAAUAGCUCACUGGUCGAGUCGGCCUGCGCGGAAGAUGUAACGGGGCUAAACCAUGCACCGAAGCUGCGGCAGCGACGCUUAUGCGUUGUUGGGUAGGGGAGCGUUCUGUAAGCCUGCGAAGGUGUACUGUGAGGUAUGCUGGAGGUAUCAGAAGUGCGAAUGCUGACAUAAGUAACGAUAAAGCGGGUGAAAAGCCCGCUCGCCGGAAGACCAAGGGUUCCUGUCCAACGUUAAUCGGGGCAGGGUGAGUCGACCCCUAAGGCGAGGCCGAAAGGCGUAGUCGAUGGGAAACAGGUUAAUAUUCCUGUACUUGGUGUUACUGCGAAGGGGGGACGGAGAAGGCUAUGUUGGCCGGGCGACGGUUGUCCCGGUUUAAGCGUGUAGGCUGGUUUUCCAGGCAAAUCCGGAAAAUCAAGGCUGAGGCGUGAUGACGAGGCACUACGGUGCUGAAGCAACAAAUGCCCUGCUUCCAGGAAAAGCCUCUAAGCAUCAGGUAACAUCAAAUCGUACCCCAAACCGACACAGGUGGUCAGGUAGAGAAUACCAAGGCGCUUGAGAGAACUCGGGUGAAGGAACUAGGCAAAAUGGUGCCGUAACUUCGGGAGAAGGCACGCUGAUAUGUAGGUGAAGUCCCUUGCGGAUGGAGCUGAAAUCAGUCGAAGAUACCAGCUGGCUGCAACUGUUUAUUAAAAACACAGCACUGUGCAAACACGAAAGUGGACGUAUACGGUGUGACGCCUGCCCGGUGCCGGAAGGUUAAUUGAUGGGGUUAGCGGUAACGCGAAGCUCUUGAUCGAAGCCCCGGUAAACGGCGGCCGUAACUAUAACGGUCCUAAGGUAGCGAAAUUCCUUGUCGGGUAAGUUCCGACCUGCACGAAUGGCGUAAUGAUGGCCAGGCUGUCUCCACCCGAGACUCAGUGAAAUUGAACUCGCUGUGAAGAUGCAGUGUACCCGCGGCAAGACGGAAAGACCCCGUGAACCUUUACUAUAGCUUGACACUGAACAUUGAGCCUUGAUGUGUAGGAUAGGUGGGAGGCUUUGAAGUGUGGACGCCAGUCUGCAUGGAGCCGACCUUGAAAUACCACCCUUUAAUGUUUGAUGUUCUAACGUUGGCCCCUAAUCGGGGUUGCGGACAGUGUCUGGUGGGUAGUUUGACUGGGGCGGUCUCCUCCUAAAGAGUAACGGAGGAGCACGAAGGUUGGCUAAUCCUGGUCGGACAUCAGGAGGUUAGUGCAAUGGCAUAAGCCAGCUUGACUGCGAGCGUGACGGCGCGAGCAGGUGCGAAAGCAGGUCAUAGUGAUCCGGUGGUUCUGAAUGGAAGGGCCAUCGCUCAACGGAUAAAAGGUACUCCGGGGAUAACAGGCUGAUACCGCCCAAGAGUUCAUAUCGACGGCGGUGUUUGGCACCUCGAUGUCGGCUCAUCACAUCCUGGGGCUGAAGUAGGUCCCAAGGGUAUGGCUGUUCGCCAUUUAAAGUGGUACGCGAGCUGGGUUUAGAACGUCGUGAGACAGUUCGGUCCCUAUCUGCCGUGGGCGCUGGAGAACUGAGGGGGGCUGCUCCUAGUACGAGAGGACCGGAGUGGACGCAUCACUGGUGUUCGGGUUGUCAUGCCAAUGGCACUGCCCGGUAGCUAAAUGCGGAAGAGAUAAGUGCUGAAAGCAUCUAAGCACGAAACUUGCCCCGAGAUGAGUUCU
rnacentral:rRNA from 1 species